UCCGUUAUGGUGUAGUGGCUAACAUUAUCGCCUCUCAUAGCAGUUUCUCUCAUUCGAGGCGCGAUAGCCCAGGGUUCGAUUCCCUGUAACGGAA